rnacentral:rRNA from 1 species
CCUACGGGUGGCUGCAGUGAGGAAUAUUGGUCAAUGGACGAGAGUCUGAACCAGCCAAGUAGCGUGAAGGAUGACUGCCCUAUGGGUUGUAAACUUCUUUUCUGAGGGACGAAGAAAGUGACGGUACCUCAGGAAUAAGCCACGGCUAACUACGUGCCAGCAGCCGCGGUAAUACGGAGGAUGCGAGCGUUAUCCGGAUUUAUUGGGGUUAAAGGGUGCGUAGGCGGAUUUUUAAGUCAGCGGUAAAAUGUCCGAGCUCAACCCGGGCCGGCCGUUGAAACUGGGGAUCUUGAGUGGGCGAGAAGGAUGCGGAAUGCGUGGUGUAGCGGUGAAAUGCAUAGAUAUCACGCAGAACUGCGAUUGCGAAGGCAGCAUACCGGCGCCCGACUGACGCUGAGGCACGAAAGCGUGGGGAUCGAACAGGAUUAGAUACCCCGGUAGUC